rnacentral:rRNA from 1 species
ACUAUCGUUAACUGAAUACAUAGGUUAACGAGGCGAACCGGGGGAACUGAAACAUCUAAGUACCCCGAGGAAAAGAAAUCAACCGAGAUUCCCCCAGUAGCGGCGAGCGAACGGGGAGCAGCCCAGAGUCUGAAUCAGCUUGUGUGUUAGUGGAACGGUCUGGAAAGUCCGACGGUACAGGGUGAUAGUCCCGUACACCAAAAUGCACAGGUUGUGAACUCGAAGAGUAGGGCGGGACACGUGGUAUCCUGUCUGAAUAUGGGGGGACCAUCCUCCAAGGCUAAAUACUCCUGACUGACCGAUAGUGAACCAGUACCGUGAGGGAAAGGCGAAAAGAACCCCGGCGAGGGGAGUGAAAAAGAACCUGAAACCGUGUACGUACAAGCAGUGGGAGCACCUUUAUGGUGUGACUGCGUACCUUUUGUAUAAUGGGUCAGCGACUUAUAUUCUGUAGCAAGGUUAACCGUAUAGGGGAGCCGCAGGGAAACCGAGUCUUAACUGGGCGUUAAGUUGCAGGGUAUAGACCCGAAACCCGGUGAUCUAGCCAUGGGCAGGUUGAAGGUUGGGUAACACUAACUGGAGGACCGAACCGACUAAUGUUGAAAAAUUAGCGGAUGACUUGUGGCUGGGGGUGAAAGGCCAAUCAAACCGGGAGAUAGCUGGUUCUCCCCGAAAGCUAUUUAGGUAGCGCCUCGUGAAUUCAUCUUCGGGGGUAGAGCACUGUUUCGGCUAGGGGGUCAUCCCGACUUACCAACCCGAUGCAAACUACGAAUACCGAAGAAUGUUAUCACGGGAGACACACGGCGGGUGCUAACGUCCGUCGUGAAGAGGGAAACAACCCAGACCGCCAGCUAAGGUCCCAAAGUCAUGGUUAAGUGGGAAACGAUGUGGGAAGGCACAGACAGCCAGGAUGUUGGCUUAGAAGCAGCCAUCAUUUAAAGAAAGCGUAAUAGCUCACUGGUCGAGUCGGCCUGCGCGGAAGAUGUAACGGGGCUAAACCAUGCACCGAAGCUGCGGCAGCGACACUAUGUGUUGUUGGGUAGGGGAGCGUUCUGUAAGCCUGCGAAGGUGACCUGUGAGGGUUGCUGGAGGUAUCAGAAGUGCGAAUGCUGACAUAAGUAACGAUAAAGCGGGUGAAAAGCCCGCUCGCCGGAAGACCAAGGGUUCCUGUCCAACGUUAAUCGGGGCAGGGUGAGUCGACCCCUAAGGCGAGGCCGAAAGGCGUAGUCGAUGGGAAACAGGUUAAUAUUCCUGUACUUGGUGUUACUGCGAAGGGGGGACGGAGAAGGCUAUGUUAGCCGGGCGACGGUUGUCCCGGUUUAAGCAUGUAGGCUGGUUAUCCAGGCAAAUCCGGAUAAUCAAGGCUGAGGUGUGAUGACGAGGUACUACGGUGCUGAAGUAACAAAUGCCCUGCUUCCAGGAAAAGCCUCUAAGCAUCAGGUAACAUCAAAUCGUACCCCAAACCGACACAGGUGGUCAGGUAGAGAAUACCAAGGCGCUUGAGAGAACUCGGGUGAAGGAACUAGGCAAAAUGGUGCCGUAACUUCGGGAGAAGGCACGCUGGUGUGUAGGUGAAGUCCCUGCGGAUGGAGCUGAGACCAGUCGAAGAUACCAGCUGGCUGCAACUGUUUAUUAAAAACACAGCACUGUGCAAACACGAAAGUGGACGUAUACGGUGUGACGCCUGCCCGGUGCCGGAAGGUUAAUUGAUGGGGUUAUCCGUAAGGAGAAGCUCUUGAUCGAAGCCCCGGUAAACGGCGGCCGUAACUAUAACGGUCCUAAGGUAGCGAAAUUCCUUGUCGGGUAAGUUCCGACCUGCACGAAUGGCGUAAUGAUGGCCAGGCUGUCUCCACCCGAGACUCAGUGAAAUUGAACUCGCUGUGAAGAUGCAGUGUACCCGCGGCAAGACGGAAAGACCCCGUGAACCUUUACUAUAGCUUGACACUGAACAUUGAGCCUUGAUGUGUAGGAUAGGUGGGAGGCUUUGAAGCGUGGACGCCAGUCUGCGUGGAGCCAACCUUGAAAUACCACCCUUUAAUGUUUGAUGUUCUAACGUUGGCCCCUUACCGGGGUUGCGGACAGUGUCUGGUGGGUAGUUUGACUGGGGCGGUCUCCUCCCAAAGCGUAACGGAGGAGCACGAAGGUUAGCUAAUCCUGGUCGGACAUCAGGAGGUUAGUGCAAUGGCAUAAGCUAGCUUGACUGCGAGCGUGACGGCGCGAGCAGGUGCGAAAGCAGGUCAUAGUGAUCCGGUGGUUCUGAAUGGAAGGGCCAUCGCUCAACGGAUAAAAGGUACUCCGGGGAUAACAGGCUGAUACCGCCCAAGAGUUCAUAUCGACGGCGGUGUUUGGCACCUCGAUGUCGGCUCAUCACAUCCUGGGGCUGAAGUAGGUCCCAAGGGUAUGGCUGUUCGCCAUUUAAAGUGGUACGCGAGCUGGGUUUAGAACGUCGUGAGACAGUUCGGUCCCUAUCUGCCGUGGGCGCUGGAGAAUUGAGGGGGGCUGCUCCUAGUACGAGAGGACCGGAGUGGACGCAUCACUGGUGUUCGGGUUGUCAUGCCAAUGGCACUGCCCGGUAGCUAAAUGCGGAAGAGAUAAGUGCUGAAAGCAUCUAAGCACGAAACUUGCCCCGAGAUGAGUUCU